AAUACUUUUGGUGCAAGUUGCUGUUCUCACAAGAUGGUAAUAAAAUCCUUUCUACUUUCUACCUUGAGAAGCCUCUGAAUUUAAUUCUGGAGUGAGUGACCACAAGGCCCUGCCAGCCCAGCUGUGACAUCGAUCAGGACCAAGGAAGGAAGAGGCCAUUCCAUGGAGAGAGUAAAGACCAGUCAUAGCAUGGGAACCAUAAAGUGAACCCAGAGAAAGGAGGGAGUGGGACACCUUCCCUUCCCCUUGCCCUGCCUGCACCAUCUCCUUCAUAGACUCCCAAGGUGAUUCCUACCUUCCCGCAGGAGUUGGAGCCACAGAGAGGGAUGUUGCAGCCGAGUUUCCAGGCAAGAUGUUGCUGCCAGCCUGGCAUGGAAGCCCUGAGAAGCUAAGAAACCUGGGGAUCAAGUCCAAGGGAGGGGUUUUGUACUUGGAAUUGGAACUGUGCUCUAAGCUAAAUUAUUUGUAUAUGGUUUUAUACCUUACCUUGUUAUUGUAAAAGUCAGUUCAUUUGGUGUUUUACAAACUUCAUUUAUUGCUUGCUUGACUGACCCUUUCUGUAUAUAAAUAUUGAUCUGCUGAUAUGUUCUGUAUUACCUAGUCCUGACCUAGUACUGAAAGAAGUUUUCAUGUGAGAAAUCUGGCAGUACUAUACUUAUAUUGACUGGUAGAAAUAUUCCUAUUUAUCUUUGGCAUUCAAACUGGUCACAAACAGUUACUAACAGCAGGCAGGCUUUAUCCUGGGCCAAUGGUAUGCUGGUAAAUGUUUAACAACUGGCUUCCUCCCCCCCCCCACCAAAAGUACCCAUGUUAUACUUUUAAGUCUAAUCA